rnacentral:rRNA from 1 species
CCUACGGGUGGCAGCAGUGGGGAAUAUUGCACAAUGGGGGAAACCCUGAUGCAGCGACGCCGCGUGAGUGAAGAAGGAAUUCUGUAUGUAAAGCCCUAUCAGCAGGGAAGAAAAUGACGGUACCUGAGUAAGAAGCCUCGGCUAAAUACGGGCCAGCAGCCGCGGUAAUACGUAGGGGGCCAGCGUUAUCCGGAUUUACUGGGUGUUAAGGGAGCGUAGAUGGCAGUGCAAGUCUGGAGGGAAAGGCGAGGGCUCAACCCCCGGACUGCACUGGAAACUGUACGGCUGGAGUGCAGGAGAGGUAAGUGGAAUUCCUAGUGUAGCGGUGAAAUGCGUAGAUAUUAGGAGGAACACCAGUGGCGAAGGCGGCUUGCUGGACUGUAACUGACGUUGAGGCUCGAAAGCGUGGGGAGCAAACAGGAUUAGAUACCCCUGUAGUC